CAAAUUAAAUUCAGGACAAUAAAUUGUUACAGUGCCCUCAACAGUUGAAAUUUAUCCUGAAAUUAUAGGCACGCUAUAAUGCAGGCACGCUCGAGGGACAGGAUUAGCAAGUGAUGAAGAAAAGAAUAUUUUGUUGGGUCUAAGCAUUUACAGCUUAAAAGAGCUUGCAGCACAGGUUUUGAUUUCGAAAUUGAAAAGGCGAAGCCAUACCCCACUUAGAUUUUGAUUCCGUUUAGGGUUUUUCUUUUUCAGAUAUUAUUUUUCGUCCUCUUCUUGUCUGUCUCUUCAUUCUGCAGUAGACGCUAUUCGUAGUUUUGUACUUUCCGGUGAGCCCACUGUCCACUCUUUAAUUACCAUUAGUUUAGUAUUUAUUAAUUUACUUUUGUUGCUUUCCUACGUUUUGUUUUGCCGAUUAGCCACUGUUGAGUGCUGUGUCCUCUUCUUCCUUUUUUUUUUUUGGGGGUUUUGCUAUUGCUUAAUUCUUCACAUAUGGAAUGUUGGUUUGCUUUUUAAUCUAUGAAUGGUGUGAUUGGAAACCUUAACAGGAUGCAUAUAUUUUUAACCUUUUGAACUGGGUUCCAUGUAUGGAUGCCUCUAAAUCUAAUAUCAACCCAGAUGCCGUUAGCUUUCGGGACUUCUAAUGGUGUUAUUUUUCUACUUUUUUAAUCUUUUUAUUUUUUUUUUCUUGCUUGGUUUCUUAGUUCUCCACUCAACAAUUUAAGGUGAGCUCUUUUGCAUAUAUUGUACUUGACAGUUUCAUUAUUCUUCAAGUUUGAAAUUUAUAUUUUCGAUAUUGUUUGGGUUUAUAAUCUCUAUGCUCCCACUGGACUUUUUUCCACUUAUAACUGGGGGGCAUGGCAUUCUUAGCAAAAUGUGUGCAAUGUAAUGCUAGAUUUCUGUGCAUAUCGACAUAUAUUUUUGUUUCUUUUGUUUUCCCUAUUUUCUACGGUGCUGAAAGUAGAUGGCAGUGACAGUUGGAGAGGUUUCAUUUUCUUUGGAGACAUGAAGUGUUGAAGAUGACCAUCAAGCAGAGAGAAAACAUUGAUAACUUUUCACAACAGAAGAAAGUUUUCGUUUUCGAUGAGAAGAAUGGAAAAGUGAGUGAGACGGCAGAGGCAGAGUUGCUUCAAAGUUCCAAUUUGCAGAAGUUGUGGCCGACAUUGUGGCAUGCUGCUUCGCAUCAACAGCAAGUUGGUAAGCACAGCCAAUAUGUUGAACAAUCUAGUCAGGACAGAAAAGUGGAAGGGAAAGGAAACUAUUCAAGUGAACAAAGGCAGUUAAAUAAAGGGCAUGUGAAUGUGGAGAAUAACUCUGGUGGAGGCAAUGAUCAUCUGUUGAUUCUUGCUGACUCUGCUGAGCUCAUGUUGGAAUCUGAUAGCUUAGAUGGUACACAUGAAAAUGAUCACAACCAUGAAGGGUUUCAGAUUGCUCCACUAGCUCAACAUUUAUCAGAAAUUGUAAGCCAUGUCAGAGUUACAGAUCCUAAGUCUCCUGGAAAACAAGUUGAAGGAAUGCCUGUAACUGAUCAUGUGAGAAAUGAUGGGGAUAGAUUCAACUGGAAAGGAAGAACUCCGCGCUUGAGUCAAAUUCGAUGUCAAGCUAGGUCAAAAAGCAAUUUAUUGCUGCGACAGAGGAUUUGGGAGCCAACAGUUGGGCAUUUGCAAGGUAGGAGAAUCCGAUUGACUCAAAUUCGACACCAAGCUCGGUCCAAAAAUCAUUCACAAAGAUAUUCAAGUGAGGAUUGGCAGGGAAGAAUAGUGCGUUUGAGUGAAUUGCGGCGUCAGGCUCGAUCCAAAUGUAACUCAUCAGUGCAAGAGGCAAUUGAAGAUCACGUGCAUAGGCAUUUGGACUGCCAAACCUAUAAAGCAUUUGUGCCAGAUAAUCAGAGAAAAAGAAUCAUUGCAGAUAUAUUUGGAGAGGAAGAUGGCCCCAAAGCAGUUGCAGAUCGACAUCCACCAAAGGUUGAUAGUAUGCAUGAAUAUAUUGCAAGUGGGGGAGUUGAUCUAUCAGUACCUGUGAACAAUGAAUUUCUGGACAAGACAAUCUCAGUGAGAGGAAGACUGCGAUUGAGUCGGUUAAGACACGAAGCUCGUCUGGGAAAAACAUUGGAUAGAGGAUAUCUUGGGGAAAACAGUAAAUGGCCUUGUCAAAUGUCAGUCUAAGGAGGUGCUGUACAUGUAUCGUGAACAAGAGUUGGAGUUUGGAACUUUGGAUCUUGGGACAGGAAAAUGUUCCAAAUUCCAUGACCUGAGAACUGCAUCUCUUAUGUGAUUGAUUCAGCAAUGCUGGCGAACAUGAACAGUAAUCAUAUUAGAAAUCUUUAGUUUUGAAGUGCAAUGAUAUUCAAGAGGAGUUGUGAAGUUGUCUCAUUCUUCCACAGAUCCAACAGAACACAACUGUAACACGACCAAUAGUGGUUAACAGUCCAAAGCCACUGCAGUGCGUCUCAAACUCAAACAACGAAAGGAGAAAGCCAUAAAGUCUACAUUUAGCCCUCAUGGGUUUACGAUAGAAGAUUUUUGAGUAUACAGGACAGUACUUUGAUAUUGUUUGGGAUGGCAGCAUGUUAGUAGGAUUUUCUUUGUUACAUGAAUGUGACAGGAUGAAUAGUCAGGUAUCUCACACUCGUAGUUUGACCUUUAAUGUAAUUGUGGAAGUAUUGUCGCUGCACGGCUUUGAUCUCCAUUGUCAUUAUUCUUUACC